rnacentral:rRNA from 1 species
AGCAGCCGCGGUAAUUCCAGCUCCAAUAGCGUAUAUUAAAGUUGUUGCAGUUAAAAAGCUCGUAGUUGAAUUUCGGAAUCUGUCCGUUGGUCGGGCUUCAUUGUCCGUACUGGUGUGAUGGGUUCUUACCUUCUGAAUAACCAGCAUGCCAUUCAUUUGGUGCGUUGGGGAAGCAGGACUAUUACCUUGAAAAAAUUAGAGUGCUCAAAGCAGGCUAGUGCCUGAAUACAUUAGCAUGGAAUAAUAAAAUAGGACGGCAUGGUUCUAUUUUGUUGGUUUCUAGGAUCACCGUAAUGAUUAAUAGGGAUAGUUGGGGGCAUUAGUAUUCAAUUGUCAGAGGUGAAAUUCUUGGAUUUAUUGAAGACUAACUUCUGCGAAAGCAUUUGCCAAGGAUGUUUUCAUUAAUCAAGAACGAAAGUUAGGGGAUCGAAGACGAUCAGAUACCGUCGUAGUCUUAACCAUAAACUAUGCCGACUAGGGAUCGGACGAUGUUAAUUUUUUAAUGACUCG